rnacentral:rRNA from 1 species
AGAGUUUGAUCCUGGCUUAGGAUGAACGCUAGCUACAGGCUUAACACAUGCAAGUCGAGGGGCAGCAUGUUGGUUGCUUGCAACCAAUGAUGGCGACCGGCGCACGGGUGAGUAACGCGUAUCCAACCUACCCUUGUCCAUCGGAUAACCCGUCGAAAGGCGGCCUAACACGAUAUGCGGUUCUCAGCAGGCAUCUAACGAGAACGAAAUGUGAAGGAGAAGGAUGGGGAUGCGUCUGAUUAGCUUGUUGGCGGGGUAACGCCACCAAGGCGACGAUCAGUAGGGGUUCUGAGAGGAAGGUCCCCCANAUUGGAACUGAGACACGGUCCAAACUCCUACGGGAGGCA